rnacentral:rRNA from 1 species
UACGAAGGGGGCUAGCGUUGUUCGGAAUUACUGGGCGUAAAGGGCGUGUAGGCGGUUCGUAAAGUCAGGCGUGAAAUGCCCGGGCUCAACCUGGGAACUGCGCUUGAUACUCACGAACUUGAGUCCGGGAGAGGAUGGUGGAACUCCCAGUGUAGAGGUGAAAUUCGUAGAUAUUGGGAAGAACACCCGUGGCGAAGGCGGCCAUCUGGACCGGUACUGACGCUAAGGCGCGACAGCGUGGGGAGCAAACAGG